rnacentral:rRNA from 1 species
UGGGGAAUAUUGCACAAUGGGCGCAAGCCUGAUGCAGCCAUGCCGCGUGUAUGAAGAAGGCCUUCGGGUUGUAAAGUACUUUCAGCGGGGAGGAAGGGAGUAAAGUUAAUACCUUUGCUCAUUGACGUUACCCGCAGAAGAAGCACCGGCUACCUCCGUGCCAGCAGCCGCGGUAAUACGGCGGGUGCAAGCGUUAAUCGGAAUUACCGGGCGUAAAGCGCACGCAGGCGGUUUGUUAAGUCAGAUGUGAAAUCCCCGGGCUCAACCUGGGAACUGCAGCUGAUACUGGCAAGCUUGAGUCUCGUAGAGGGGGGUAGAAGUCCAGGUGUAGCGGUGAAAUGCGUAGAGAUCUGGAGGAAUACCGGUGGCGAAGGCGGCCCCCUGGACGAAGACUGACGCUCAGGUGCGAAAGCGUGGGGAGCAAACAGG